GCCCAUGUAGCUCAGCAGGUAGAGCACUUCCUUGGUAAGGAAGAGGUCAUGGAUUCGAGUUCCAUCGUGGGCUCCA
rnacentral:tRNA from 1 species